rnacentral:rRNA from 1 species
UGGGGAAUUUUGGACAAUGGGCGAAAGCCUGAUCCAGCAAUGCCGCGUGUGUGAAGAAGGCCUUCGGGUUGUAAAGCACUUUUGUCCGGAAAGAAAUCCUUGGCUCUAAUACAGUCGGGGGAUGACGGUACCGGAAGAAUAAGCACCGGCUAACUACGUGCCAGCAGCCGCGGUAAUACGUAGGGUGCAAGCGUUAAUCGGAAUUACUGGGCGUAAAGCGUGCGCAGGCGGUUUGCUAAGACCGAUGUGAAAUCCCCGGGCUCAACCUGGGAACUGCAUUGGUGACUGGCAGGCUAGAGUAUGGCAGAGGGGGGUAGAAUUCCACGUGUAGCAGUGAAAAUGCGUAGAGAUGUGGAGGAAUACCGAUGGCGAAGGCAGCCCCCUGGGCCAAUACUGACGCUCAUGCACGAAAAGCGUGGGGAGCAAAACAGGAUUAGAUACCCUGGUAGUCCACGCCCUAAAACGAUGUCAACUAGUUGUUGGGGAUUCAUUUCCUUAGUAACGUAGCUAACGCGUGAAGUUGACCGCCUGGGGAGUACGGUCGCAAGAUUAAAAACUUAAAGGAAUUGACGGGGUCAUAGCUGUUUCCU